UGUAGAUGAGGUGCUGUUUAGCCAGGGAGAACAUGGCUUGUGAUUUAGAUGAGGUGCUGUUUAGCCAGGGAGAACAUGGCUUGUGAUGUAGAUGAGGUGCUGUUUAGCCAGGGAGAACAUGGCUUGUGAUGUAGAUGAGGUGCUGUUUAGCCAGGGAGAACAUGGCUUGUGAUGUAGAUGAGGUGCUGUUUAGCCAGGGAGAACAUGGCUUGUGAUUUAGAUGAGGUGCUGUUUAGCCAGGGAGAACAUGGCUUGUGAUGUAGAUGAGGUGCUGUUUAGCCAGGGAGAACAUGGCUUGUGAUGUAGAUGAGGUGCUGUUUAGCCAGGGAGAACAUGGCUUGUGAUGUAGAUGAGGUGCUGUUUAGCCAGGGAGAACAUGGCUUGUGAUGUAGAUGAGGUGCUGUUUAGCCAGGGAGAACAUGGCUUGUGAUGUAGAUGAGGUGCUGUUUAGCCAGGGAGAACAUGGCUUGUGAUGUAGAUGAGGUGCUGUUUAGCCAGGGAGAACAUGGCUUGUGAUGUAGAUGAGGUGCUGUUUAGCCAGGGAGAACAUGGCUUGUGAUGUAGAUGAGGUGCUGUUUAGCCAGGGAGAACAUGGCUUGUGAUGUAGAUGAGGUGCUGUUUAGCCAGGGAGAACAUGGCUUGUGAUGUAGAUGAGGUGCUGUUUAGCCAGGGAGAACAUGGCUUGUGAUGUAGAUGAGGUGCUGUUUAGCCAGGGAGAACAUGGCUUGUGAUGUAGAUGAGGUGCUGUUUAGCCAGGGAGAACAUGGCUUGUGAUGUAGAUGAGGUGCUGUUUAGCCAGGGAGAACAUGGCUUGUGAUGUAGAUGAGGUGCUGUUUAGCCAGGGAGAACAUGGCUUGUGAUGUAGAUGAGGUGCUGUUUAGCCAGGGAGAACAUGGCUUGUGAUGUAGAUGAGGUGCUGUUUAGCCAGGGAGAACAUGGCUUGUGAUGUAGA